KNUWWUACGUACCUUAAAACGGGUUUCCCCGKGGWACWAAAUAGAGAUACAAACCAAUAUUUUGGUGAUUCAUANUUAUUUUUCUGAUCGUAACUUUUGUUGCGACGCCCCGUUCAAAUUUCUGACCUAUCAACUAUGAUGGUAAGGUAGGGUCUUACCAUGGWUGUGACGGGUAACGGACCGUGGGUGCGGGAUUCCGGAGAGGGAGCCUGAGAAACGGCUACYACWUCCAAGGAAGGSAGCAGGCGCGCAAAUUACCCAAUCCKGACACCGGGAGGUAGUGACAAAAAAUAGCAAUAGAGGGCCYGAUGGGCUCUCUAAUUGGAAUGAGAACAAUGUAAAAAUCUUAUCKAGGAK
rnacentral:rRNA from 1 species